AGAUGGUUGGCCGAGUGCUCUAAGGCGCAGAUUUAGGCUCUGGUCCGAAAGGGCGUGGGUUCAAAUCCCACAAUGUUUA
rnacentral:tRNA from 1 species